GGCAACGUUCCACGGCUAUGCUGUCGCCCAUCUGGAUCAUUGCGCAGCCCUCUUUCGUCUUCAAGAACUUCACCUGUUUGUAGAAUCAUUCAAGUUUAGAAUCAAUUUGGAGGAUCAAUCGAAGGAGGAGGAUAGCGGUGAUGCAUCAUCAGAACUUGAAAAAUUUCUUGGAAUAAAAGAUACUUUUCUUGAACAAUGUCUCGGGAAUGAGACAAGUAGAGAGAAGGAAAAAAUGCGUUAACAAAUCGACACACAACAGAGACAAAUUCAACCCGUGAUCGUCACAUCGAUUCCUCCUCCUCCUCUGUACAACCCAACCCUCUAAAAAAGCCUUUUUCCAAGGGAGGAAAAAAAUCAUCACGAAGAGACGAGAAUGAAAAUUAAGCUCGAAAGAAAUUUAAAUCACCCCCUAGGCCACCAUCCUCUUUCCCUCUAGGAUAAACACGGGGAACGUCCCACGCUGCGAAUACAAGCGCGAUAAAAGUUGCGAUUACGCAAGUUUGCGGGGGAUGAGUUAUCGCCUCCAUUCCAGAGGAAGUGUUGCAGAGUUUGUGACGGGCGAAAAUUAGGGUCGCUUCUUAAACACAUCUUGGCCGCAUCUUGGAAUUUAAUGCAUUCGUAAUUGUUGCCCCGCAAGCCAACGUUUAUCAACGUUGAAUCUAACGUUUCAACCGCCGUUCGAAAGAAUCUCCUCCCAGUGAUAAUCGUAAAGUAACGGCGGCUCGUCACCGUGGAGGAUUUUUCGAGGUGGUUGUGCAGGUAAGUUUUCCGUUGCCGGUUUAAAGAGAAAGGGGGAGCAACAGGUUCAAACGAAGGGGAACGGAAUUUCUGAUUCUAGUGUGAUGUUUCAGAGGGAAUGUUUAAUUUCGACGGUAUUCAAAGGAACAGUAAGAGCAUCUUAGCUAAAGAUAAAAUGUUCGCGUGCAUUUUUCUCUCUCGAUGGUUAAAGAGUUUAAGAGUUUAUUUUUUUUCUUUUUUUAUUAUUGGAAAACAAAUUUAUGGACGACACGUGUAUGUUAAUUUUAAUCUCCUCUGUAUUGUUACUUCUAUUUUAUUUUACAUUUUUAUAACGCAUAUGAUGCCACGUUACAUGAAUAAAGCAUUACCUAAUAUUGGAACGUGCUUGUUUUCCAUCGGAUCUCUUAUAUUAAUUAUUAAUUCUUUUUUUUUUUCGACGAAAUUUUCAGAUAACGAAGUAUCACAGUGUGAUUUGACGCACAGAUGUCAUAUUGGAAUUAUAACGAGGAGGAUAAGUGUCUUGGAGAUUUUCGAUGUUGAUGAUUCUUUAACAAGAGUGCGACACGAUAAAUUUGAACGAAAUAAAAAUAAAGAAGCGCAGAGGCUCGUUCGAGAAAAUGAAGAGAAUAAAUAAUAAUAAUUUAUCUCUAGUAUCAAGUGCAAAAUACGUAUCCACUAUCGAGGCGCAAUUGUAUAAGAAAAGGAAAAAAAAUAAAAGGACGAGAAAUUUAUUUCCAAUGAUUCAUUUCCAGGAAUCAGUUCGAGAAAGGGCUUAUAAAUGCGAUGCGAAUAUAUCAGUAUGGACGCGUUCGAGGAAAGGUGAAAGGUCGAGGCAUGAAACUUCGUUUUAUCGCGGCUCUGAUGAAUCACACGCCUCCAAUAAUUAAACGAGUAACGAAUUCACUUUACGCAAUAAAAUUUCGAGGAAUGGAAAAAAAGGAGGAGGGGAAAGAAAAAAAAAAAAAAGAAAAAUACGCUUUUAAUGAUUGUCAGUGAUAUUUAUAGAAUCUGGAAACGAUUCCCUGGUGAAUCGUUUAUCGUGUGUUUCGUAUGAACGGCGAGCAAUUAGAAAUGCAAUAUUGCUUCGUUUCGUAUAAUCCUUUACACAAUGUGACCAAUCGUGACGUAGCCACGUUAAUUAAUAACCACGUAUAUAUACGUGGAACGCGUUCAUACGUAUAUCGUGUAGUAGCACAACUACAUUCGUUUCUCAAUCCGUUCUCUUUGCGCCUGUUAUCCAAGCAUUUCUACUUACGGUCUUCACGCUUUGACUGAUUAUUGGACGUUCACCGGCAUUCCAAUCGCGUUAGCAUCACCGCGCAACGAUAUUCAUUCCUCUCGGACGUUCUCCGUUUUUCUCUCUCGAUCAACAAAAUUAAAUUGAAACACAGGAAAUUUUGUCACGUUCGAAAGCAAAAAAAAAAAAAAAAAAAAAAAGAGAACCAAUAUCACGGUCGUUGGAUCGGAGACGACAAGAGAGGAAAAAGAUAGCAAUUCCCCAGGGACCUUUAAAAAAGCUCGAACAGGAUCGAACUUUCUUAAUCCCGAGUUUUUAAUCGUGCUUCGGCCAUCGCUCUUGCAAACAAACUGACGCGCCAUCGAUCACCGUGUUUCCGAGGGUAAAAAAAAAAAAAAAAAAAAAAAAACGGUGAUCAGUUCCAGCGAUGCUUAUCGAGCACGAUAUAGGGGUGUAUAUGCAACACAGAAGGACUUUUCUCUUCCUUCCUCCCCGGUUUUCACUGCUGGUUAUUAUCGAUCGCGAAAAAUCCUUGUUCGAAACGUCACGUUCCACGAUUCCGUAACUCUUCCAACUCACCAUUGCUUUCCCACUUGAGCUAUUGUUCGCGUCGUUGAAAAAGAGUGGGUAGCGUGUAGCAUUUCUUGCUACUGGUUAAUUCUUUUCGAAUCGGUUUGAAAAGAAAAGAAAAGAAAGAAAAAAAAAA